AGAGUUUGAUCAUGGCUCAGAAUGAACGUUGGCGGCGUGGAUUAGGCAUGCAAGUCGAACGGGCCGCAAGGCCAGUGGCGCAAGGGUGAGUAAGGCGACGGUAACCAACCCCACGAUUGGGUAUAGCCGCGGGAAACCGCGGGUAAUCCCCAGCGACGCAACGGCCCCGGCAUCGGGGCCUUGCCAAAGCUUCGGCGUCGUGGGACGGGCUGUCGUGGUAUUAGCUUGUUGGCGGGGUAAUGGCCCACCAAGGCGGCGAUGCCUACCGGGCGUGCGAGCGCGACCCGGCACACUGGGACUGAGACACUGCCCAGACUCCUACGGGAGGCUGCAGUCGAGAAUCUUCGGCAAUGGGCGCAAGCCUGACCGAGCGACGCCGCGUGGAGGACGAAGGCCUUCGGGUUGUAAACUCCUGUCGAGGGGGAAGAAGGGUCGCAAGACCUUGACUGAUCCCUGGAGGAAGCACGGGCUAAGUUCGUGCCAGCAGCCGCGGUAAGACGAACCGUGCGAACGUUAUUCGGAAUCACUGGGCUUAAAGCGCGUGUAGGCGGAUGAGCACGUCUGUCGCUGAAAUCCCCCGGCUCAACCGGGGAACGGGCGCGGAUACGGCUCGUCUCGAGGGGCGUAGGGGGACCUGGAACUUCCGGUGGAGCGGUGAAAUGCGUUGAGAUCGGAAGGAACGCCCGUGGCGAAAGCGAGGUCCUGGACGCCUACUGACGCUGAGACGCGAAAGCCAGGGGAGCGAACGGGAUUAGAUACCCCAGUAGUCC
rnacentral:rRNA from 1 species